rnacentral:rRNA from 1 species
CCGCGUGUGUGAAGAAGGCCUUCGGGUUGUAAAGCACUUUCAGUUGUGAGGAAAAGUUAGUAGUUAAUACCUGCUAGCCGUGACGUUAACAACAGAAGAAGCACCGGCUAACUCCGUGCCAGCAGCCGCGGUAAUACGGAGGGUGCGAGCGUUAAUCGGAAUUACUGGGCGUAAAGCGCACGCAGGCGGUUUGUUAAGCUAGAUGUGAAAGCCCCGGGCUCAACCUGGGAUGGUCAUUUAGAACUGGCAGACUAGAGUCUUGGAGAGGGGAGUGGAAUUCCAGGUGUAGCGGUGAAAUGCGUAGAUAUCUGGAGGAACAUCAGUGGCGAAGGCGACUCCCUGGCCAAAGACUGACGCUCAUGUGCGAAAGUGUGGGUAGCGAACAGGAUUAGAUACCCUGGUAGUCCACACCGUAAACGCUGUCUACUAGCUGUUUGUGACUUUAAGUCGUGAGUAGCGAACCUAACGCGCUAAGUAGACCGCCUGGGGAGUACGGCCGCAAGGUUAAAA